UGGGAAGUAUUGCAUCAAUGGCGCAAGCCAUGACUGCAGCCAUGCCGCGCUGUAUGAAGAAGGCCAAUUCGGGGCUUUGGUUAAAGAUACUUUCAGCGAGGAGGAAGGCGUUGUGGUUAAUAACCACAGCGAUUGACGUUACUCGCAGAAGAAGCACCGGCUAACUCCGUGCCAGCAGCCGCGGUAAUACGGAGGGUGCAAGCGUUAAUCGGAAUUACUGGGCGUAAAGCGCACGCAGGCGGUCUGUCAAGUCGGAUGUGAAAUCCCCGGGCUCAACCUGGGAACUGCAUCCGAAACUGGCAGGCUAGAGUCUUGUAGA
rnacentral:rRNA from 1 species